rnacentral:rRNA from 1 species
GACGGAGGAUGCAAGCGUUAUCCGGAAUUAUUGGGCGUAAAGCGUCCGCAGGUGGCCUAUCAAGUCUGCUGUCAAAGACCGGGGCUUAACCCCAGAAAGGCAGUGGAAACUGAAAGGCUAGAGGAUGGUAGGGGCAGAGGGAAUUCCCAGUGUAGCGGUGAAAUGCGUAGAGAUCAGGAAGAACAUCGGUGGCGAAGGCGCUCUGCUGGACCAUAACUGACACUCAGGGACGAAAGCUAGGGGAGCGAAUGGG